CCCCGAUAGUUCUCAUUUUCUCUUCUCUCUUCUAUCUCUUGUCUCUCGCGUCUACCUCUCUCCACCUUCAGACCUCGUCGCCUCGCCUUCGCCACAACCAUAGACAGAGAGACUCUGUCUCUCGUGUCUCCCUCUUUCACGCUUUCUCUCUCUCCUUCCUCUCCUGUCUCUCUCUCCUCCCUUCUUCUAGUUCAGAGGGUUUUGGGUUUUAAUUUUAGGGUUACUGAUUUGGGUUUUAAUCUAACCAUUUGUUUGUGUGCUUGUAAAGGUGAUGGCGUCGAAACGGAUCUUGAAGGAGCUGAAGGACCUUCAGAAAGAUUACUUCAUGCAGCGCUGGACUCAAGUUUUACCCGCAAAUUUGCGGAGCUCUUCGGAAAUCAUAAAACUUCAAAUCGAACCAAAAUUGCUAGUGAGUCUGGGAGUCUUUGCUACGCGGAAGGAUAUAGAUUUCAGGGCCAUGGCUCUCAAUCUGCGGCAAAGGCAAACAGCGAUAUUGCUGUCAUUGCGCAAAGAUAGAGACUCCCUAAAGAACUAGGAAGAAAUCAUUCUAGCAUCAGAUGGAGCAAUGGUAGCAAGAGGAGAUCUAGGUGUGCAGAUACCACUAGAACAGGUCCCAGCAGCCCAGCACAGGAUUGUUCAAGUUUGUCAGCGGCUAAAUAAGCCAGUCAUUGUGGCUUCUCAAUCUCAACUACUCGAAUCUAUGAUUGAAUAUCCUACACCAACUAGAGCUGAAGUGGCUGAUGUUUCUGAAGCAGUGAGGCAGCGAGCUGAUGCUUUGAUGCUCUCUGGUGAGUCUGCUGUGGGCCAGUUCCCGGAGAAGUGUUAGUCUGAGGAUUGAGAGAUGGUGGAGGGAAGAGAAACAUCAUGAAGCUAUGGAACUCCCAGGCGUUGGAUCGUCAUUUUCAGACAGUAUUUCAGAGGAGAUUUGCGUUUCUGCUGCCAAGAUGGGUGUAUCAAGAAGCCUUUGGUCCUGCCUAAUGAUCUCCCCCAGUCGACAUUGAUAUUCAGAACCUGAGCCUCAUCCAAAACAAGAAUUUUCCUUUUCUUUAAGAGCACUUGCACUAGGCAAACAAGCUGCCUCUGUCCAACAUUCCAGUUUUCUCCAUCUUCAGCAACUGUUUUGGUGGAAAUAUCAACCUUGUGGAAUAAUGCUCAACCUUGACCUUAAGUCCUGCAGACCUAUCUUAGCAAUAUCAAGUUUUGAACAUGAUUACGUGGCAAUCACUUUGAUUGUCAUUUUGUGAAUGGUAGAAUUUUCACAUAGAAUGUACAAAGUUUUAGAUUCUGUGGUUGGUAGCUUUGGGAUGUACGUACUAAA